UUACCAUGCAGUCGAACGGUGAAGCCAAGCUUGCUUGGUGGAUCAGUGGCGAACGGGUGAGUAACACGUGAGCAACCUGCCCUGGACUCUGGGAUAAGCGCUGGAAACGGCGUCUAAUACUGGAUAUGAGACGUGAUCGCAUGGUCGUGUUUGGAAAGAUUUUUCGGUCUGGGAUGGGCUCGCGGCCUAUCAGCUUGUUGGUGAGGUAAUGGCUCACCAAGGCGUCGACGGGUAGCCGGCCUGAGAGGGUGACCGGCCACACUGGGACUGAGACACGGCCCAGACUCCUACGGGAGGCAGCAGUGGGGAAUAUUGCACAAUGGGCGGAAGCCUGAUGCAGCAACGCCGCGUGAGGGAUGACGGCCUUCGGGUUGUAAACCUCUUUUAGCAGGGAAGAAGCGAAAGUGACGGUACCUGCAGAAAAAGCGCCGGCUAACUACGUGCCAGCAGCCGCGGUAAUACGUAGGGCGCAAGCGUUAUCCGGAAUUAUUGGGCGUAAAGAGCUCGUAGGCGGUUUGUCGCGUCUGCUGUGAAAUCCCGAGGCUCAACCUCGGGCCUGCAGUGGGUACGGGCAGACUAGAGUGCGGUAGGGGAGAUUGGAAUUCCUGGUGUAGCGGUGGAAUGCGCAGAUAUCAGGAGGAACACCGAUGGCGAAGGCAGAUCUCUGGGCCGU
rnacentral:rRNA from 1 species